UGUGCUACGAAUUGCAUAUAAAAGAGCGACCUUACUGGUCCAGAUCCUUGGAACCAACAGCACUGCCAGGGUGCAUUGACUGGCUGCCGACACCGGUGACCGAUGUAGAGACGUUUUCGCUGACGACUCUAUGGGCCAGGUGUCCCACCUAAAUCCUUAAACCUUAAACCUAGUGUGAACUGGUCACAGAAGCCCAUAGUCAUCACAACGUGAAAAACGCGAGCCGUCCUUGAGACUUGAGUUCCUAGUAUCACAUAUCAAGAUAGAUCACAACAAAGAACAUCACUAAAUAGAUAUUGCAGCAUAACAACAACAAAAAAACUAUUACAUUUUCAUAUUAUAUCUCGGAAACUGUUAGAGAGUUCUAGAAAAUCGACAUGCUUAAGACGAUCACACAAAAGCUUUUCAGGCAUGAUUGGAAUAAAAACAAAGACGGCAAGAACAAGAGUUUUAUCUUUAUUUACCCAGAGAGAUUAAAAUAUGUGAAACAAAGAAACAAAAGAAAUUCAAAUUCUUUCACCAGUUGCCGACCAAAUUUGAAUCUCGGCACUGUCGCUUCCUUUCAAGCGAGGACAACGGGCGUCUUAUCUUAUAGGCCACCACGACUAGAUCCUGACAAAAAGAGGGCCUGCCUGGAUUUUUAUUAAUCGUUAGAUUGAAAACCAAUACACGGAGCGAUUGCUUAGAACAACAAAUUCAAUUAAUAAUGUCAAAUUGGUUCCUCACUAGUACAGUUUUCAGCUAGUUCUUCGGGCUAAAUAAUAAAAUAUUAGGAACAUCAUGGCUAUCAUUUUCCCGGCUUUGCGUCGACAACGACAUUUAAAUUACAAAAUGACGUCGUACUAAAAACGUAUUACGAAACUGGUCGCAAAACAUAAUACCAAUUAAAUUAAUACUAAAUA